GGGCCUGUAGCUUAGCCUGGAUCAAGCGCUUGCCUUCUAAGCAAGAGAACGAGGGUUCAAAUCCCUCCAGGCCCG
rnacentral:tRNA from 1 species